AACGAACGCUGGCGGCGUGCUUAACACAUGCAAGUCGAACGUGAAAGGGACUUCGGUCCUGAGUAAAGUGGCGCACGGGUGAGUAACACGUGGAUAAUCUACCCGAUGGACCGGGAUAACACUUCGAAAGGGGUGCUAAUACCGGAUAAGCCCACAGGCUCUUUGGAGUUUGCGGGAAAAGGUGGGGACCUUCGGGCCUACUGUCAUUGGAUGAGUCCGCGGCCCAUUAGCUAGUUGGCAGGGUAAUGGCCUACCAAGGCAACGAUGGUUAGCUGGUCUGAGAGGAUGGCCAGCCACACUGGAACUGAGACACGGUCCAGACUCCUACGGGAGGCAGCAGUGAGGAAUCUUGCGCAAUGGGGGAAACCCUGACGCAGCAACGCCGCGUGAGUGAGGAAGGCCUU
rnacentral:rRNA from 1 species